UUUAAGCCAUACUAUUCAGAAAAAAAAUUCCUUUCAAAAUAUGACUGCUCAUUGACAACGCACCGGUCACCCAAGAGUUCUGAUGGAGACGGACAA